AAAAAAAAAGAAACCAGAAAAGAAAAAACAAAAUACAACUUUGAGCGGUGGAUCACUCGGCUCGUGCGUCGAUGAAGAGCGCAGCCAG
rnacentral:rRNA from 1 species